rnacentral:lncRNA from 1 species
UCCUGUAAUAUUCAUAAACUUCUGUACUAGAUUAACAACUCAGCAGAUGAAGAGCGACCUGCAUGGGUAGAUAUGGAAUUGGGAUCCUCUAAAAUCUCCCUUCACUCCCUGGUUUGCUCCCAACUCCCUUUGUCUGCCUCCAAAUUUACCUCGAACCCAGUGGUCGCUCACUCUGUUAAAACUUGGAUUCAAAUUAGGAAAAGCCUAGGCCUCCACAGAGCCUCAGACCUCUCCCCAUUGUAGACAAUCACCUAUUUCUGCCCUCUUGCACGGAUUUGACUUUUCAGACUUGGUUUGACAAAGGGAUAACUAAAUUUAAGGACCUUUAUAACAAAGGGACUUUUAUGUCCUUUUCUGAGCUCUCAAAUAAAUUUGAUUUGCCUAAAUCCCACCUGUUUCGUUUUUUUCAGAUAAGGCAUUUUGUUCGGAAUCAGAAACCCAAAUUCCCGAGUCGACCCCCGGAAACUCUGGUUGACUCAUUAUUAUCUCUUGUCCCGGAACAAAAGCAGCUAAUUUCUAGCAUUUACAGCCUUAUCAAUUCAACUAUUGACACCCCAGCGUCCGGUCCCAAGGACUCUUGGGAGCGAGAACUCGGAACCACUCUUUCUGAUGAUUAUUGGAAACAAGUCUUACGGUUAGUUCAUUCCUCUUCAAUUUGUGCGAGACACAGCCUCUUACAGUGUAAAGUGGUACACAAAGUUCACUACACUAAUCUGAGGCUGUCUCGGAUUUACCCCAAUGUAACUGACUCCUGUAAUAGGUGCAAACAAUCCCCAGCCGACCAUUCCCAUAUGUUCUGGUUCUGUCCCAGGCUUGCCACAUUCUGGUCGGAAAUCUUUAAAACUCUUAGUACAGCUUAUAACACUACGAUCUCUCCUGAACCUCUCCUAGCUUUGUUUGGUACCCCUUUGCAACCUCUUGCUUCCAAGGCCAUGCGGACCAUUCUUGCCUUUACCACCCUGUUGGCCAGGCGUCUCAUACUCCUCAACUGGAAACUCCCCCAACCUCCAUCUUAUAGCAGUUGGGUGAAAGAGGUGUUACUGACCAUUAGACUUGAAAAGCUCAGAUUCUCCCUCAAUGGCUCCUUAAAUUCAUUUGAAGCAACA